AUGGCGGGCACGAAGGCGGAUGCGAAGGCGGAGACCAGCGGCGGCGGCGGCUCUUUCAGCGAGAAGGGGCUUGCCGAGAAGCUAAAUAAACUCAACAGCUCGGCGGCGAGCAUCCAGACACUUUCACAUUGGUGUGUUUUUCACCGGAAGAGAGCCAGAAGAAUCGUCGACACAUGGGAGAAGCAGUUUAAUAAUGCAACAAAGGAUAAGAAAGUGUCAUUCCUGUAUCUAUCAAAUGACAUACUGCAAAAUAGCAAACGCAAGGGUGGAGAAUUUGUGAAUGAGUUUUGGAAGGUUCUUCCUGGAUCACUUAAAGAUGUUCAUGAUAACGGGGGAGAACAUGGAAAGAAAGUGGUCGCAAGAUUAAUAGGGAUUUGGGAUGAGCGGAAGGUUUUUGGAACCCGUAUUGAGAGCCUAAAAGUUGACAUCCUUGGUGAGAACCCUCCUACAUUGGAUAACAACGAUAAUGGUUCAAAUCCUAGCCCUAAUCCCUCUUCAGAUCCCAAAGCUGCUCGGAAGGAUUCCAGUACAUAUAUAAAAGAACUGACUGUUUCCGGGAUGCCUGAAAAGAUUGCGACUGCAUAUCAGUCUGUAGUUGAUCAGUAUUUUGAUGAGGACGCAGCUUUAAACAAAUGUAAGACUACUGUUAAUGUUUUGGAGAAGAUGGACAAAGAUGUAGAUAAUGCUUGUACCCACGGUAUUCCUCAAGCAUCAUCAUUGGUUUCUGACCUUCAAGAGCAGGAAGCAGUCCUCAAGAAGUGCAUCGAGCAACUUGAAAGUGUCGACACAGCUAGGAUAAACCUGAUUAAUCAACUAAAAGUAGCUCUCAGUGAACAGGAAGGAAAGUCGGAGCUUCUUCGCACUCAGUUGCAAGUUGCUCGAGCAGAGGCUGAACAUGCCAUGCAACUCAGACAACGUCUUGGUGGUGCUCCUGUUACAAAUGGUCCAGGAUCUAGUUCUGGUCCACCCAUGAUUACAUUUCCAUCAGGGCAAACAACUGCUGUGAUGCAGAAUUCAGAAGCAAGUCCAAUAUCUCCUCAGUUUCAGCUGGUGCAUCCAGCAACCUCACCUCCCACCAUGACCAGUGCUAUGGGUGAUGAACCCAAGAUAACAGCAGCAGCUAUGGCAGAUAAGCUUGCAUCUUUGUCAUCUGGCCAGCAAGUGCUGUCCUCCAUUUUCUCAUCCCUUGCCGCUGAACAAGCUGCUUCCAUAAAUGGUGGUUCGUCUUCUGGAGAACUCUCUGCAGGGCCUCCCGGCUUUGACAGACCAAAGAGGCCUAGACUUGAGCAGCAGGCUGGUGAUACAGGGGCUCCCCCUUUCUUUGCCCAAGUACCACAAGUGCAACAACAGAUUGGAGCAGCACCUACUUCUCUUGGAAGCACACAGUCACCAGCACAGGCUAACCAAGUACCAGGUUCAUUUGCACCGUCUCCAUUACAACCAAUGGUACCGCAACUUAUGCAGCAGUUUAGUCAAAAUACUGGAGGUCCUGGAGGAAUGUUCGGAAUGAUACCCUUUGGGAUGAUGGCUGGCUCUAUGCCACCUCCACUUCCAUUGUUGCCGGCAGGUUUUGCAAUGCCAAAUGAACCACCUCCUCCACCUCCUCUGCCACCCAUUCAGCAGCAGCAGCAGUCUCCACAGGCACCACAGCAAUCUCCAACAUCAACUGGAUUCUUCCCAACUUCAAGCACUGGGUUCUUCCCUCCAGUUCAGGUGCAGCAAUCUCCAUCCGUCCAACGGCAAUGA
rnacentral:rRNA from 1 species